rnacentral:rRNA from 1 species
UACGUAGGUGGCAAGCGUUGUCCGGAAUUAUUGGGCGUAAAGCGCGCGCAGGCGGUCUUUUAAGUCUGAUGUGAAAGCCCACGGCUCAACCGUGGAGGGUCAUUGGAAACUGGGAGACUUGAGUGCAGAAGAGAAGAGUGGAAUUCCACGUGUAGCGGUGAAAUGCGUAGAGAUGUGGAGGAACACCAGUGGCGAAGGCGACUCUUGGUCUGUAACUGACGCUGAGGCGCGAAAGCGUGGGGAGCAAAGCAG